GUCAAGUCCCACAACUACUCACCCAGAAAGUAACAUAUGCAUAUAACAUGAAUUCACUCCACCUGAGUCAGAUGUCAUGGAGAUCAUCCAGACACCAGAAGUAGAUCACACAGGACUCAGCGGUGAUGAGAAACAUUCAGCUGACCUGUGAGUGGGUAAAGGAGACCACUUGCUGGGAAGAUGAGCUGCAAAAGAUCAAAAGGAUGAUGCCCUGUUGUCUAUAACAAUGUGGGACUUGUUUAUAAACACCAUGUUUUAUGAGG